UGAGAGAUCUUCUGGAGAGUCCAGACUGCAGACUGGAGACUCUCAGGAUCGGAGAUUAUCAUCCCUACAGGAUUGGAUAUGGACUAGGAGAGACGAUCAGAGCCAAGAUCCAGAAGACCUGUGACAGGAAGUGAAGACACACAGAAAGUUUAUUCAUCACAGGGCGAGUUUGAGACUUAAAGAGGAGCGUGGAGGCAUUUUGGAAAAUAAAGAAGAAGGCUGCAGCUGAUGAGAGACUUCCUGUUAGCUCUCCUCAAUAUCAAAUGAACAAAAACAAUCAAUUGUACUUAAAGCUUUUCUUAAGAAGAAAGAUGUGUUGCACAUACACCUGCUGCUACCUACCACCACCUCCCACCCAUCCCGGCACCAAAGAGGAGACUCCAUCGACCCCAGAUACCCCAACUCACUCUUCUUCAGGUUAGCUUGGAGCCCCGCCUUUACCUGCCCCAACACCUCACUUUGAACGAUGUAGUCAUCCGGAUAUCUGCAUACUGAGAGUGGGACGCAGGACCCGGUCAAUGAGCUGCUGGAAGGGGGUCCACUGGACUGGAGGGGCGCUUGGAUCUGGUGAUGCCUGGCUCUUCCUGAAAGGGGAGGACACCUAUCUGCCAUAGUUUCUCCACCUGACGACUGAGUUCGGCAUCGGGGGUUCCAGUUGGGGUGAAGAGACUCUGGGGGGCAUCCGAUGGCUCCUGAAUAGGGGGGCCCUUGGAGUGUCCAACCUAAUGAUAAUAAUAAGAAUAAUAAUAAUGCAUGUUAUUUCUAAAGCACCUUUCAUUGCUAAAAGUAAUCUCAAAGUGCUACAAGGGGCAUAAUAUACUUCUUUUUUUUUAAAGAAACACAAGUUUAAUAAAAGGCUUUAAAAAAAGAAAGGUUUUUAGGCCCUUCUUGAAGGAGUCAGUGGUCUGUGGAGUCCUCAGUUUGUCUGGGAGGGAAUUCCACAGGUGAACAGAAAGCCCCCCCAUGGUGCGGAGUUUGGUCCUGGGGGGGAAGCAGAUGGUUGGUUGUAGAAUGGAGGUUGCGUGUGGAGGUUUGUGAGGAGAGUAGUUCCUUGAGGUAUGAAGGAGCGUUCCCGUGGAUGCACUGAUGGGUGAGGAGUGAGAUCUUGUAUUUGAACCUAGCUGGAGGGCUAUUGGUGCCCCCUGUUGACCCAAAGAGACUCUUUUGGUUGGGGUAAUGAGGUGAAAGUUAUCUGCACCUAUUAGUAGGAGAGGCUGCACUUUGGAAAAGAGGGAAGGGGAAGGCCUUGUAGGCGGAGAUAGUGUUUCUUGAGUUCAUCCACAGGAUAACUCUAGUCCACAAGUGAAAGUCUGUCAGAGGUGAAUGUGUCUUUGAGGAGGAAUGUUUUCUUGGGAUUGAAAGAGGGUGAUAUCUCAAAGGUCACUGAGGCUCCAUUUCAGAAUAAUAUAUAUGAUAUGUUUUAUAAUGAUUGAUCAUUAAAGUGUUCUCAAAGCUGGUAAAGGU